rnacentral:rRNA from 1 species
GAUGAACGCGGGCGGCGUGCUUAACACAUGCAAGUCGAACGAUGAAGCCCAGCUUGCUGGGUGGAUUAGUGGCGAACGGGUGAGUAACACGUGAGUAACCUGCCCUUAACUCUGGGAUAAGCCUGGGAAACUGGGUCUAAUACCGGAUAGGAGCGUCCACCGCAUGGUGGGUGUUGGAAAGAUUUAUCGGUUUUGGAUGGACUCGCGGCCUAUCAGCUUGUUGGUGAGGUAAUGGCUCACCAAGGCGACGACGGGUAGCCGGCCUGAGAGGGUGACCGGCCACACUGGGACUGAGACACGGCCCAGACUCCUACGGGAGGCAGCAGUGGGGAAUAUUGCACAAUGGGCGCAAGCCUGAUGCAGCGACGCCGCGUGAGGGAUGACGGCCUUCGGGUUGUAAACCUCUUUCAGUAGGGAAGAAGCGAAAGUGACGGUACCUGCAGAAGAAGCACCGGCUAACUACGUG